rnacentral:tRNA from 1 species
GCAGCGGUGGCGUAGUGGUAGACGUUAUAGGUCUCCUAACCAGUCGCCGAGCGCUGCGCGGGUUCGAAUCCCGUCUCAAGCG